rnacentral:tRNA from 1 species
UCUCUGGUGGUCCAGUUGUUGGGAUUCUACUCUUCCAAUGCAGGGGACCCAGGUUCCAUCCCUGGUCAGGAGAA